AGAUACGAGGAUGAUCUGGCUGCGAAAUCUGUCACUGCAUUGAUUGCCAGGGUUGAUUUGGCUGAUCUGGCUGGCUAGGCGGAUAUCCCCUUCCUCCCUCACCACUCCAUGUCCGCAUCUCCUUAAGCUGCAUACUCCAUUGAUGACAACGACUUCCUCCUCUGGUUCUUUGUUUAAGGAUAUAGGAGUAGUUGUGCUGCUAGAACCUCCAAAAGAGCUCUCAAGGUCCAUUUGCAGUCAAGCUUCCGAGACUCCAGACACAUUCAAAUGAGGGGCUGCAUGUGGCAGUCUACCUUUCUUU
rnacentral:snRNA from 1 species